CGGUAAGCUUUAACAUGCAAGUCGAACGGCAGCACGGACUUCGGUCUGGUGGCGAGUGGCGAACGGGUGAGUAAUACAUCGGAACGUGCCCAGUCGUGGGGGAUAACGUAGCGAAAGCUACGCUAAUACCGCAUACGAUCUACGGAUGAAAGCGGGGGAUCGCAAGACCUCGCGCGAUUGGAGCGGCCGAUGGCAGAUUAGGUAGUUGGUGGGGUAAAGGCUCACCAAGGCGACGAUCUGUAGCUGGUCUGAGAGGACGACCAGCCACACUGGAACUGAGACACGGUCCAGACUCCUACGGGAGGCAGCAGUGGGGAAUUUUGGACAAUGGGCGCAAGCCUGAUCCAGCAAUGCCGCGUGCAGGAUGAAGGCCUUCGGGUUGUAAACUGUUUUUGUACGGAACGAAACGGUGAGCUCUAAUAAAGUUUGCUCAUGACGGUACUGUAAGAAUAAGCACCGGCUAACUACGUGCCAGCAGCCGCGGUAAUACGUAGGGUGCAAGCGUUAAUCGGAAUUACUGGGCGUAAAGCGUGCGCAGGCGGUGAUGUAAGACAGAGGUGAAAUCCCCGGGCUCAACCUGGGAACUGCCUUUGUGACUGCAUCGCUGGAGUACGGCAGAGGGGGAUGGAAUUCCGCGUGUAGCAGUGAAAUGCGUAGAUAUGCGGAGGAACACCGAUGGCGAAAGGCAAUCCCCUGGGCCUGUACUGACGCUCAUGCACGAAAGCGUGGGGAGCAAACAGGAUUAGAUACCCUGGUAGUCCACGCCCUAAACGAUGUCAACUGGUUGUUGGGUCUUC
rnacentral:rRNA from 1 species